rnacentral:rRNA from 1 species
CCUACGGGUGGCUGCAGUGGGGAAUAUUGCACAAUGGGGGAAACCCUGAUGCAGCGACGCCGCGUGAGUGAAGAAGUCUCUCGGUAUGUAAAGCUCUAUCAGCAGGGAAGAAAAUGACUGUCCCUGACUAAGACGCCCCGGCUAACUACGUAACAGCAGCCGCGGUAAUACGUAGGGGGCAAGCGUUAUCCGGAUUUACUGGGUGUAAAGGGAGCGUAGACGGCGCUGCAAGUCCGGAGUGAAAGCCUAUGGCUUAACCAUGGUACUGCUCUGGAACGUGUGGAGCUGGAGUGCGGGCGGGGCAGGCGGAAGUCCUAGGGUAGCGGGGAAAGGCGUAGAUAGUAGGAGGAACACCAGCGGCGAAGGCGGCCUGCUGGACCGUAACUGACGUGGAGGCUCGAAAGCGUGGGGAGCAAACAGGAUUAGAUACCCGGGUAGUC